rnacentral:rRNA from 1 species
CCGGCACGGGUGGAGUAACACGUAUCCAACCUGCCGUCUACUCUUGGACAGCCUUCUGAAAGGAAGAUUAAUACAAGAUGGCAUCAUGAGUUCACAUGUUCACAUGAUUAAAGGUAUUCCGGUAGACGAUGGGGAUGCGUUCCAUUAGAUAGUAGGCGGGGUAACGGCCCACCUAGUCUUCGAUGGAUAGGGGUUCCGAGAGGAAGGUCCCCCACAUUGGAACUGAGACACGGUCCAA